rnacentral:rRNA from 1 species
UACAGAGGGUGCGAGCGUUAAUCGGAAUUACUGGGCGUAAAGCGUGCGUAGACGGUUAUUUAAGUCGGGUGUGAAAUCCCUGGGCUCAACCCGGGAAUUGCAUUCGAUACUGGCAAGCUAGAGUACGGUAGAGGCGGCGGAAUUCCGGGUGUGAGCGGUGAAAUGACGUAGAUAUCCGGAGGAACACCGAUGGCGAAGGCAACCGCCUGGGCCUGUACUG